rnacentral:rRNA from 1 species
GACGAACGCUGGCGGCGUGCUUAACACAUGCAAGUCGAACGGAAAGGCCCUGCUCUUGUUGGUUUCUCGAGUGGCGAACGGGUGAGUAACACGUGAGUAACCUGCCCUUGACUUUGUGAUAACAUCAGGAAACUGGGGCUAAUACCGGAGAGGAUCUCCUGCUGCAUGGGGGUGGAUGGAGAGUUUCGGCUGUUGGGGAUAGACUAGCGGCUUAUCCGCUAGUUAGUGUAGUAGUGGCUUACCAAGGGUAUGACGGAUAGGCGGCCUGGGAGGGUUGCCGGGGACCAUGGGCCUGCGGUAGGGAGCAGAAGGCAACGGGAGGCAGAAGUGGGGAGUAUUGCACAGUGAGGGGAAGCGUGAUGUGGCGGCGUCGGGUGCGGGAUGACGGCCUACGGGUUGAAAACCGAUUUGGACUGUGACGAGCAGUGCGUGACGGUACUGGGUAAAGAAGCAACGGCUAACUACGUG